rnacentral:rRNA from 1 species
GUGCCAGCAGCCGCGGUAAUACGGAGGAUCCGAGCGUUAUCCGGAUUUACUGGGGUUAAAGGGUGCGUAGGCGGCCCAACAAGUCAGCGGUGAAAUGUGGCGGCUCAACCGUUUCGCUGCCGCUGAUACUGCUGGGCUUGGAUUCGGUCGAGGCGGGUGGCAUUCGUGGUGUAGCGGUGAAAUGCAUAGAUAUCACGAGGAACGCCGAUAGCGAAGGCAGCUCGCCGGGCCGCGAUCGACGCUGAGGCACGAAAGCGUGGGGAUCAAACAGGAUUAGAUACCCUGGUAGUCCACGCUGUAAACGAUGAUUACUCGCUGUUGGCGAUACACAGUCAGCGGCUAAGCGAAAGUGAUAAGUAAUCCACCUGGGGAGUACGUUCGCAAGAAUGAAACUCAAAUGAAUUGACGGGG